rnacentral:lncRNA from 1 species
ACAAUUUUAUCUUGAAAUUUUAGUGAGGGAUCACCUUAUAAUGUUAGCAUCCUCCUAAGCAAAACAAGGUGCAUAAAAAUGAUGAAAGUCACAUGAAAUCAUAAGUGACAUGAUAUGGCCAUGAUCUUGUGCUUUUGAUCUCCAUCUCCAAAGCACCGACAUGAUCUCCAUCGUCACCAGCACAACACCAUGAUCUCCAUCAUCGUGUUUCCAUCAAGGUUGUCGCGCCAACCAUGCUUGUACUACUGUUGAUACAGUUUAGCGAUAAAGUAAAGCAUUACAUAGCUCUUAAUGAUUGACACACAAGUCAUACAAUAAUUAAAGACAACCCUAUGGCUCCUACCGGUUCCCGUAGCAUCGACAAGCAAGUCGACAUUAACUAUUGCAACAUGAUCAUCUCAUACAACAAAUACAUAUCAUCAUGUCUUUGGCCAUAUCAUAUCACAACAUACCGUGCAAAAACAAGUUGGACAUCCUCUAAUUUAUCGUUGCACGUUUUACGUGGCUGCUAUGGGUAUUUACCAAGAAUUCUUCUUAUCUACGCAAAACCACAACGGUGAUAUACAAGUUGCUAUUUAACCUUUUAUAAGGACCGCCUUUGUCGAAUCAUAUUUAACUAAAGUGGGAGAGACAGACACCCGCUAGCCAUCUUUAUGCAACAAGUUGCAUGUCAGUCGAUGGAACCGGUCUCUCGUACAUGUACGAGUAAGGUUGGUUCACGCCGCUUUAUCCCACAAUACCGCUAAAUCAAGAAAAUACUAAGGAGGGAAGGAAUCUGAAUAUCAGCGCCCACAAACUCCUUUGUGUUCUACUUGAGAUGUCAUCUACGCAUAGACCUAGUUCUGAUACCACAGUUGGGGAAUGUUGCAUGGGAAACAAAAACAUUCCUACGCCCACCAAGACCGUUCUAGGAGAUGCACAUCUACGAGAGUAAAGACUGAAUCUACAUACCCUUGUAGAUUGCUAAGCGAAAGCAUUCAAGAGCGCGGUUGAUGUAGUUGUACGUCUUCAUGAUCCGAUCACGAUCCGUCUCACGAACUCCUUGUCAAGCGCCGAAUGGACGGCACCUCCGCAUUCAACACACGUGCAGCUUGGUGACGCCUUCACCUCCUCGAUCCAGCGAGCGAUGGUGAAGUAGGAGCACGAGUCCUACGACAGCACGACGACGUGGUGAGAUGAUGGUGGUGAUAGCUCAGCAGGGUUUCCUCGCCUGAUGUUUAGAGGACAAGAACUACGAGGGAGAGGAGGAGCAGCGCCACGGCAAGAUGUCGUCUGGCUGCCCUCUCUCUACCUCUCUAUAUAUAGGGUUAAGGGUGGAGGGGAGGGCGCCAUAGGGUUUCCCCUAUGGGCCGGCGGCCAGGAUGGGCGACGGCUAGGGUUGGGGUGCCCUCCCCCCACUUGGGUGCCUUGCCACCCAAGUUGGACAGGCUGAUGCCCUGGGGGGAGGCCCUCCUCCCUUCGGCCAAAGUGGGCUGGGGUGUGGGUGGUGCCCAGACCCUUGUGGGAUGGUGUGCCACCCCUCCUUGGCCCAUGAGGCCGCCAACACUUGUCGGGGCCUCCCGAAAAUCCUUUCGCUAUUCUGUCAUUCCCUUGUAUUCCCUGGAAUACUUCCGGACUCCGAUACUCUUCAUCCUAUAUAUCAAUAUUCACCUCCGGACCACUCGAGAGUUCCUCGUAAUGUCCGGUAUCUCAUCCAGUACUCGGAACAACCUAUGUCCCACCAACAAUAUGACUCAAUUAUGCUCAUAUCGUCACCGUACCUUAAGCGUGUAGACCCUGCGGGUUCGAAAACUAUGCAGACAUGACCGAGACACUCUCCGGUCAAUAACCAAUAGCGGGACCUGGAUGCCUAUAUUGGUUCCUACAUAUUCUGCGAAGAUCUAUAUCGGUCGAACCUCGAUGUCAAGGAUUCAAUCAAUCUCGUAUAAAAUGCUCUUUGUCCAUCGGUAUGUUACUUGCCCGAGGUUCUAUCGUAGGUAUCUCCAUACCUAGUUAAAUCUCCUUACCUGCAAGUCUAUUUACUCGUUCCGUAAUACGAGAUACCGUGGCUAACUCUUUAGUCACAUUGCUUGCAUGCUCAUGGUGAUGUUGACAUACCUCUCGAUCACACGGAGUGACAAAUCCCAGUCUUGAUCCAUGUCAACUCAACCCACACCCUCGGAGAUACUUGUAUAGCACAUUUAUAGUCACCCACUUACGCAACGGCGUUUGAUACACACAAGGUACUCCUCCGGUGUUAGUGAGUUGCAUGAUCUCAUGGUCAUAGGAAUAGAUACUUAACAUGCAGAAAAUAAUAGCAAUAAACUGACACGAUCAUAUGCUACCUUCAUAGUUUGGGUCUUGUCCAUCACAUCAUUUUCCUAAUGAUGUGAUCCCGUUAUCAAAUGACAACUCAUGUCUAUGGCGAGGAAACCUUGACCGUCUUUGAUCAACGAGCUAGUCCAUUAGAGGGUCACUAGGGAGAGUGUGUUGUCUAUGUAUCCACACAUGUAUUUGAGUUUCCAAUCAGUACAAUUCUAGCCUGGAUAAUAAACGAUUAUCACGAACAAGGAAACAUAAUAAUAACCACUUUAUUAUUACCUCUAGGGCAUAUUUCCAACAUCUAAUGGAGACUGCUUUCCACCCUUUUCAGCACCAUCUGAGGUGGUCGAUCUGUAAGAAAAUCAACAUCAGAACAUGAAAUGCUAUCAAUGGCAAGAUCAACAUAUGUCUUAAUUUGCUCACAAUCUAAUGAAAUAAGAAAAGAAAAUCUCAGGUAACCACGUGAUACACAAAGCAAAGGACAUUUAAAUCCUAAAACGUGAAGAUGUUUGAUAUACAUGGUGUUCUGCCAUGAUGACCAAGAAGAAAAGUAGUAUAGAAGUAGAAUUUAUAUAAACAAAUAAGAUGCACUAUAUUAGAAGAAAUGAUGAAAUCAAUUUCAGAACUUCCCUCUUCCCUACCCUACCCCUGAUAUACAUUCAAUUUUGUCGGACGCAAAAUUCCAAUAGAACAAUAGGACUGAUGGAAUCAAUUUCAGAACCACCAUAAAGAACUAAACUAACUUCCAAACAAACAUUUCAAGCUUGGAAGUGCCAAACAUGCACAUAUUCAUAUAGUGGGUAGGAAUGUAACAACAAUUGUCUGCUUGCAUAGGAAAUAAUGGUCAUAAUGGUGCCAAUUGAACAUAGAUGAGUAACGAAAUUAAAAACCAGAGAGUUGUGGAAGCAGUGACCUCAGGUGGUGUUUCCCUUGUGCUCCUGGCUCCGGCACCUAACGACCACGGGUCUAUAUUCCCUUCAAGUACAGGUAAAAUCAGAUCAAUCUCCAUCAGCAGACGAACCCAAGCCAACCAAGAACAUGCAUGGUGGUGGCGAUAAAUGUUCUUCACCAUAUUCGACGCUAGGAGUGCAGUGGAAUACUCACCAAGGAAAUCACUGCUGGAGAGGCCCUUGGCAUAGACCAGAUGCACCUCUAGAAGACCACACCCCAUUGUUUUCUUCUCCCCGUGCUGCUGCUCCUCUCUUCCUCCCCUGGUUCUAAGUCGAGGCCUUGCCCCUCUGCUCGAUCUGCUUCUGUCGAGGCCGGACCGAGGUCGCGCUAUGGUUGCUACUCCUCUCUUGCUGACUCCUAUUGAGUCCGGAUUGAGGCCGCGCUCCUCACUCUAGCUCCUCAUGCUGAGGCCGGACCAUGGCCGUGCUGCGGUUAUUACACCUCUCCUCCUCCUAAGCCCAGAUCGAGGUUGUGCUCCUUGGCUCGAGCCGCCGCCUCGCUCUCCUUCUCUGUCACACCCCACUUAUCCCCUUCACAUCCCUCCUCCUUCCUAAGCUCGAAAAGGAGAGAGGGAAGCGGCUUGGGGGGAGGGCAGCAGGCGUAGGACCCAAGGAGAAGUAGAAGAGGCAGGAUUGGGAGAUUGGGGGAGAGGAGGCAGUGGAUUGAGGAAAGAGUUGUUGCACGCUCGCUGCACUUGUGUUGAUACCCGCUUGCUCUCUUUGCCAUCUUCUCUCGCUGCUCGCGCACCCUGUUUUUAGCCGACGUGGAGGCCUUGGUUGUGCCUAGCACCCCUUCAUCCUUUAUAAGUAAAAUGACAUGGUCAUCCUUGUCAUCCUCAUUCAGUAGCUCGAUUAGCACCGCAUUCUUCUUCUCAAGCGAACCCCGACGCUCCACUAGCUACCUCGCGAGUGGGUCGAUGUUGUUGAAGUCGGCGAGGAAACAACGCCGAGUGUUGGCAUCAGAUUUUGGCAUGGUCAAUAUUUUAAUUAAAAUGACUUCAAAUUAAAUAGUACUCAACAUGAGAAAGUUCCAUAUAGUUAAAAUGAGAAACUUUGAUGUAUUGGUCAUCACUAACUGAUCUCAUCUAAUGGGCUAAAACUAUGCUCAAAGUACUUAGAUUUUGUAUUUAGAGUAUUGUUCCGCUAAUUAUUCUCCCAAGACAGACUCAUAUGAAAAAAUGUUCUACAUGGAUUGUCUUCGCCUCGUAUGCAAAAUGAUCGAUUAUGGUAUAAAAAUCAUCUUAACCCGAGGUCGCAUGCGAAAGUUAGAGUCGUAGGGUGCAGAACCCUACGAGGAGGCAAAAGGUGGCGCGCCCAAUCAGACACAUGGCUGAUAUGUAAUGAUGUCAAUUUCUUGUUUUGUGGGAGCGUUUUGGUCCACAAAACAGCCUCGAUUCGAAAAACGUUCAACACGAAAAGUUGUCCCUCUCGUCAAAAUGGUUAAAUUUGCUUUUGGGCUCAUAAUCAGCCGAUGUUGUUUGCGGCCUGUGAGACCCAAAAACCGAACUGUUGUCAUAGUCUUGCCUAAAUCCGAGUUCGGUUAACUUUGGAAAGAUUUGGACGGGAUUUGGAGUCUUUUCUUGUACGAAAGUUCAGACGCCUCAUAAAUAGAUGAGAGUUGAUGGUCGAUUGAACAACACACAAUCAAACAAAUCAAUCUACUACUUUUUCGUGUUCAUCUACUUUUUAUCCCACUCUCUUGUGUCUUCUUCUCAUUCUUCGUCAUUCUUCAAGACCGGAGGGCCGUGAACCUACGAGGUCCUGGGAACGGUCAGGCAGACCUAGGGCAGCCCAUAGCCGUCACGCACCCUGACGGGGUCCCUCCCGGGCAUGUGGGGUUUUAGGUCUGCAAAAGCACCUGCCGGACUACUUGCGUACCACAUUUCCAGACGGAUCUCCUUCGAUGUGAGUUGCGGUGCAUCACCCCCGACAUGGAGGGUACACGGUGACAUGUUUGUGUGCGAACACACUUUUUGGCGACUCCGCUGGGGACGAAGCUUUGAAAAGGCUCUAGCCCAUUCUUGCUACGAAGAGAUCGUCAUCUAGGGUUUGCACACUACAAAGGUAAUAUGAAUACCCAAUUCACUUAUGUAGAUGCAAAUAAUGCAUAUGUUGUUGCUAGAUCGUUUAAUGAUCAUAAUGUAUCGGCUAGCCCUAGUUUUAUGAAUCAUGCAUCUAGUUAUGUUCGACGAAUAACUUGCACUAUGUUAAUCCAAAAAUGUCGGUGGAUAGGGGAAUUGGCCAUAUGCUACUACUAGUUAUUUGGCCAAUUACCCUCAAACAUCAUAUGCUACACCUCAUGCUACCCGCAACUGUUGAUGUUUAUAAUUCGGCUCCGCACCUUCACGGUCAAGGCCGAAUAAGUGAAACUUCUGUAGGAGCACGAAUGCCUUAACCUAGUACCGUAGCAUAUAAUGAUGCCCCUCGACAAUUUCAAAAUUUCAGCAACAUAUCAUUGUCGGAUGUGUCUAAAAGUGUUGGAGGGCAACCCGACGAAUAUUGGGCUAGAAUUGGGCAAAAAAAGCUUAAAGAUAGCCUAGCUGCAAUGUUUGCUGAGUUUAGACAAGAACAAGGAGCCUUGCGAAUCAAAGAAUAAAGAGUGGUGAUUUGGAUAACCAAGUUAAUUAGGUUAUUGAAAAGGCCAAAACAAAUAGUACAUGUGCCGAAUUUGUUAUGUUAAAGGAAGAUGAUAAGGCGUUGAAGAGUUAUCCAAAAGUGGAGCAAGAUGUUGUUCAUAUCACACAACCAUCAUGCUCUCCCAACAUAUUUGAAGAGGUAUCUCUAGAAGUGAUGUACCUAUUUUUCGAUUUGGUUGCAACUUUAUUGUUGAUGCUUCUAUUAGAAAAAUUAUCGUAAGUAGUUUGGAAAGACCAAUGAAGAAGGGUAAAUUAUUUGUUAGCAAUAAAACCACUACGAAGCAUAUCGAUCAAAAUGUUGUGCCAUUCAUAGAGAUUGAUAGUGACCUAUUGCAACCAAAGCUUUUGACAUUGCUUUAUUUAAAGUUUAUAUCUAAUUGGGUAGCUUUGCUUGUUUCAUACUUGAGUUACGCCUGAUCUCAAUUGAGACAUGUGUGGUCUAACUAUUUUGUUUCAGAAAUUUAAAGCCAAGGUUAAAUUAUUUUGAGAAAACCGAUGCUAAAAUAAUAUCUUAUCCAAAGACACCGGAGAUAGAGUGCAAAACAUAAUGCAUAGUCGAAUGGGGAGAUUCCAAAUCUGAACCAUUUGUUUGCUUACCUCCAAAGUUGUUCCCACACCAAGAUCAAUUAAAAAACAAGAAGUAUUGACAAGAGUGGGAUUUGAACCCACGCCCUUUCGGACCAGAUCCUUAAUCUGGCCCCAUAGACUAACUCGGCCAUCUGAUCAUGAUGGGACUCGAUCUAACCCUCCUCUUGCACUCCCGCGAUCGGUAGAGGAGGCUUCCAGGCGCCGCCGGCCCCGACCCCUCUCCUCCUCCUCUUCCCUCGCCGCCGCCCGGGCACGCUGGCGGGCGAAGCCUGUCUGGCGUGGGUGGUGUCGGGGAGUCUUCUCGUCCUCGCCUGGUGAGGUCGUCACAGAGCGAUCUGGCCCGGCCAGGGCGCAAUGUUGUGCGGGGCACGGCGGCGAUAGGCGGCAGCGCUGAACACCAUGGUGCUGGCGUGGAGGGCUGCAUACGGGCGGGUGCACGCAGCUUCGUGUGGCACGGUGUGACGUCGGGAGGAUGUGGGUCGGUCGAAUCUCGCCUGGGACACUGGCCGGCGGCGCGGGGUGGCGGGCACAACUAGGAGCAGGGGCGGAGGACGUUGAUGGCGGUGCCGUGUGCGGGGCCGUCGGCGUGGUGACCCGUGGUGUCUGGUGCUGGCGGGGAGUUUGGGCCUCCUCUUCCCCGAUCUGGAUCGGCUAGGUGCGGGGACGUUCGAUAACCCAAAAGUAUAGGGGAUCAAUCGUAGUCCUUUCGAUAAGUAAGAGUGUCGAACCCAACGAGGAGCAGAAGGAUCUGACAAGUGGUUUUCAGCAAGGUAAAAUCUGCGGGCACUGAAAUUGUCGGUAACAAGUGAUUGUGUGGUGAGAUAAUUCAUAGCAAGCAACAAGUAACAAAAGUAGCAACGAUGCAGUAAAGUGGCCCAAUGCCUUUUGUAGCAAGGGACAAGCCUGGACAAAGUCUUAUAAGAGGAAAAACGCUCCCGAGGACACACGGGAAUUUCUGUCAUGCUAGUUUUCAUCAUGUUCAUAUGAUUCGCGUUCGUUACUUUGAUAGUUUGAUAUGUGGGUGGACCGACGCUUGGGUACUGCCCUUACUUGGACAAGCAUACCACUUAUGAUUAACCCCUCUCGCAAGCAUCCGCAACUAUGAAAGAAGAAUUAAGACAAAGUCUAACCAUAGCAUUAAACUAGUGGAUCCAAAUCAUCCCCUUACGAAGCAACACAUAAACUAGGGUUUAAGCUUCUGUCACUCUAGCAACCCAUCAUCUACUUACUACUUCCCAAUGCCUUCCUCUAGGACCAAAUAAUGGUGGAGUGUUAUGUAGUCGACGUUCAGAUAACACCACUAGAGGAAAAACAACAUACAAAACAUCAAAUUACCGAACGAAUACCAAAUUCACAUGACUACUAUUAGCAUGACGUAUCCCAUGUCCCCGGGAACAAAAGUAACUACUCACAAAGCAUAAUCAUAUUCAUGACCAGAGAGGUAAUGAGUAGCAUAAAUGAUGUGAACAUAAACUCUUCCACCAAGUAAUCCAACUAGCAUCAACUACAAAGAGUAAUUAACACUACUAACAACCUUACAAGUACCAAUCGGAGUCGCGAGACGGAGAUUGGUUACAAGUGAUGAACUAGGGUUUGGAGAUGAGAUGGUGUUGAUGAACAUGUUGAUGGUGAUGAGUCCCCUCCGAUGAGAGGAGUGUUGGUGAUGAUGAUGGCGACGAUUUCUCCCUCCGGGAGGGAAGUUUCCCCGGGAGGAUCGUCCUGCCGGAGCUCUAGAUUGGUUUUGCUCAAGUUCCGCCUCGUGGCGGCGGCGAAACCACGAAAAAGCUCCUCCUUGGUUUUUUCCUGGAUGAAACCCUUCAUAUAGGAGAAGAGGGGGGCCGGUGGGCCAGCAGGCUGCCCACAAGCCCUCAUGGCGUGGCCUGGGGGGUGGCCGCGCCGUGCAGGCUUGUGGCCACCCCGUGGCGCCCCUCUGGCGCUUCUUCGGCCCAGUAUUUUUUAGAAAUCCGGAAAAAAAAUCCUCGUUGAUUUUUACGGUGUCUGGAGUUGCGCAGAAUAGGUAUCUCAAACUUGCUCCACUUUCAGGCCAGAAUUCAAGUUGCCGACAUUCUCCCUCUUCAUGUAAACCUUGCAAAAUAAGAGAGAAAAGACAUAAGAAUUGUAUCGUGAAGUGAAAUAACAGCCCAAGAAGCGAUAAAUAUCAACAUGAAAACAUGAUGCAAAAUGGACGUAUCAACUCCCCCAAGCUUAGACCUCGCUUGUCCUCAAGCGAAAGCCUAGCUCAAUAAAUAUGUCCACAUGUUUAGGGAGAGAGGUGUCAACAAAACAAGAUACGAACAUGCAUGCAUCAUGAUCAUGAUCAGAACAGCAAUACCAACAUAUAAUCUCUCAUGCUAAAGUGAUAAUUCCUUCACAAAGGAAAGCAUGGAUCAAGAACCUUACCGAGAAGUAACAACCGAUAGCCUUUAGUCAUUGAAGCAAUUGCAAUUUAUCAGAACAUCAGAAAGAGUCAAAUAAGAGCUUGUAAAGCAAAUCCACAUACUCAAUCAUUCUUUCGUUCACUACAAUUGCUACAACUCACGUGGUACUCAUGAGAUCAAAGUUUCAGCUGGACACAGAGAAAGAUAGGGGCUUACAGUUUUGCCUCCCAACUGCUUGCCUCAAGGGUAAUGUCAACAAUAAUAACUCAUGAAUACUUACCUCCAAGUUGACAUAUGAAUAUAGAUCUUUCCCAAGCAUAUGACAUUAGCCAAGAUAAAGGCGAAAUAAGGAAUUGGUGAAGAUCACCAUGACUCUUUCAAGGACAAAAAGUAAAGGUACAAGAUAGGCCCUUCGUAGAGGGAAGCAUAGGUUGUCAUGCGCUUUUGAGGUUUGGAUGUGUGUCGUCUUAGUGCGAAGGAACGUCACUUUAUAUUGCCUGCUCUUAUAAAGAACUUUAUUAUGCAGUCUGUCGCUUUUAUCUCUUCCUCAUCACAGGUUCGUACAAAGCUUAUUUUCCACACACUAAUAGAUCAUACAUAUUAGAGAGAAAUUUUUAUUGCUUGCACCGAUGAAAACUUACUUGAGGGAUCUUAUUCAAUCCAUAGGUAGGUAUGGUGGACUCACAUGGCAAAACUGGGUUGAAGAUUUAUGGAUGCACAAGUAGUAUCUCUACUUGGUGCGGGAGUUUUGGCUAAUGUGAGGUGGAAGCAAUCAUCACAUGCUAAGGGAUCUCUAAUCAUAUAACAUUGUUCGGAGCCAAGCAAACACAAUUCAUUAUGUUGUCUUCCUUGUCCAACAUCUACUUCUAGGCAUGCAAUAGUUUAGUGAGUGUUCACAAUCAUAGAUGGUGUCAGAGAUGAUAUAUUUAUAUGUGAACCUCUCCUUCUUUAUCACUUCCUAUUAAUUGCAACCAUGACCAAGGUCUACGUUUGCCUACCCUCAACAAGUUUCAACCCUCAUUCUUUUUAUAUGUGAAGCCAUCACUUCCCAUAAGAUCAUUACAUGAUCUUUCAUGCUUUUUGUUCUUUUCUCACUCUUUUGAUCAUGGCAAGAGGCAAAGCCCUUCAACUAAGACACUCUUUAUUAUAUGGCUCACGAGCUCGAAUACAUCGGGGGUGACACAAAGCAAAACUCAAGACUAAAACACUAAGACUUUUAAUCUAUUAGAGAAAGAGAAAACUGAAAAGGAAAACUAAAACAAAGGUAAAGGCAAAAGAUGUGAUGGUGAUACGAUACCGGGGCAACUCCCCCAAGCUUGGCACAAGCCAAGGGGAUUGCCCAUACCCAUGUUUAGUUGUCUUCCUUUGGUGGUGAUGGUAGAGGAGUUGUUGCAACAUGGGCUUGAUCCUCCGUCUUCCAAGGCAUAGGUGCUCCGUCAUGGAAAGAUGAAUGAGUCUCCGGAAUCCUCAAACCUGCAGCCAACCGUAUUGCUUUAAAUCUAUACUCAUACUCAUAGUUUUGGUUCUGCAGGUCAUAGAUCUGGGCCUGGAGUUGAUCAAUCCUGUCAUAGAGCCUGGAGAGGUGCUUCCCAAUGUCAUUGGCAUCAAUCAUGUGCUUGCUGGUGAACUCCGUGAUCAUCAUGUGGUUGGCGUUGAGUCCACGCUCCACCAUCCCUUGGUACUUGAAGACUUGUUCCUCCAUUGCUUCAAUCCUCGUCUCCAUGCUUCCGGUCUUCUUGGGAACCUCAACAUCACGGAUGUGCAACAUCCCCUCAUGCAUCUCGAUAGAUUGAGGGUGUUGCAGCACUCCCCUGAGGUAGGGAUUGAUGACCUUCUCGAAGAUCUUGUCCUUCGGAGCUUUUGGGGGAGUCAUAGCGAUCUAGAUCUGCAACAAAAACAGGCUCGAAACAAAAAACAGAGGAAAUCUGCGUGAUGCAGGGGUCAGACCAAACGGGAGUAUAUAUAAUGAUUUUUUUCAGACCAGAAGGAGUACCCCGCACGAAAACGGAGUCCGGGAGGCGCACGAGGUGGCCACAAGCCCUCACGGCGCGGCCAGGGGGUGGGCCCGCACCAUGCAGGCUUGUCGCCUCCUCGCGCACUUUCCGUACUACUUCCAAUUUUUGUAUUUUUUUAAAUACUCCAAAACGGAGAAAAUUUCCUACUAGAAAAGUUUUGGACUCUAUUUUCUUACCGAAUCACAUACCUCUUCGUUUUCGGAGUCUGAAACAGGCUGAUAAAUGUCCCGUAGGUAUUCUUCCGGAGUUAUGGUAUCGAUAAUAUUGCUUUCAACAUUUAUGGGAGUACUUGAGAUAUAAUGCUUGAUUCUCUGCCCAUUUACAACUCUCGGACAAUUACCUUCCGUGUUGUUGAUCUUGAUAGCACCGAACGAUAUACUUCCUCAACAACAUAGGGACCUUCCCAUUUAGAGAGAAGGUUGCCUGCAAAGAAUCUUAAACGAGAGUUAUAUAGCAAGACAUAAUCACCUACAUUGAACUCACGCUUUUGUAUCCUCUUAUCAUGCCACCUCUUAACCUUCUCUUUGAACAACUUGGCAUUCUCAUAUGCCUGAGUUCUCCAUUCAUCAAGCGAGUUAAUGUCAAAUAAUCUCUUCUCACCGGCAAGUUUGAAAUCAAAGUUGAGCUCUUUGAUUGCCCAAUAACCUUUAUGCUCUAGCUUAAGAGGUAAAUGGCAUGCUUUACCGUACACCAUUUUUUACGGAGACAUGCCCAUGGGAUUCUUAUAGGCAGUUCUAUAAGCCCACAAUGCAUCAUCGAGCUUUUUAGACCAAUUCUUUCUAGACCUGUUGACAGUCUUUUGCAGAAUUAGUUUAAUCUAUCUGUUGCUUAGCUCUACCUGACCACUAGACUGAGGAUGGUAGGGAGACGCAAUUCUAUGGUUGACAUCGUACUUAGGAAGCGUUUUACGGAAGGCACCAUGAAUGAAGUGUGAACCACCGUCAGUCAUUAGAUAUCUAGGGACUCCAAAUCUAGGGAAAAUAACCUCUUUAAGCAUCCUGAUAGAAGUGUUGUCAUCAGCACUACUAGUGGGGAUAGCUUCUACCCACUUAGUGACGUAAUCAACAGCAACUAGGAUAUGAGUAUACCCAUUGGAUUUUGGAAAAGGUCCCAUAUAAUCAAAGCCCCAAACAUCAAAUGGUUCAAUGACAAGUGAAUAGUUCAUAGGCAUUUCCCGACGUUUGCUAAUAUUACCUAUUCUUUGACAUUCAUCACAAGACAAGACAAACUACGGGCAUCCUUUGAGAGAGUGGGCCAACAGAGACCUGAUUGCAAUACCUUGUGUGCAGUUCUAUCUCCCGCAUGGUGUCCUCCGUAGGCCUCGGAGUGACACUUCUGUAGGAUCUGUCCCUGUUCAUGUUCAGGUACAAAACGUCUAAUAACACCAUCUAAUCCUUCCUUAUAAAGGUGAGGAUCAUCCCAAAAGUAAUGUCUCAAGUCAAAGAAUAAUUUCUUCUUUUGCUGGUACAUGAAACUAGGUGGUAUAUAUUUGGCAACGAUAUAGUUUGCAUAAUCAGCAUAUCAUGGUGCACUACGUGAAGCGUUGAUGACAUUCAGUUGCUCAUCGGGUAAGCUAUCAUCAAUAGGUUGUGGGUCAUCAAGAACGUUCUCCAACCUAGACAAGUUAUCUGCUACGGGGUUAUCAGCACCCUUUCUGUCAACAACGUGCAAAUCAAAUUCUUGUAUCAAGAGAACCCAUCUGAUAAGUCUAGGUUUAGCGUCUUUCUUCUCCAUGAGGUACUUAAUAGCAGCAUGAUCAGUGUGAAUAGUGACUUUGGAGUCAACUAUGUAAGACCUGAACUUUUCACAUGCAAACACGACUGCUAAAAAUUCCUUCUCUGUAGUAGCAUAGUUUCUCUGGGCACUGUCUAGAGUUUUACUAGCGUAGUGAAUAACAUUCAACUUCUUAUCGACUCUUUGCCCUAGAACAGCACCAACAGCAUAAUUACUAGCAUCACACAUGAUUUCAAAAGGUAAGUUCCAAUCAGGUGGUUGAACAAUAGGUACAGUUAUCAAAGCCCUCUUAAGUAUUUCGAAGGCUUCCUCACAAUCAUCGUCAAAAACAAAAGGAAUAUCCUUUUUCAAGAGAUUGGUAAGAGGCCUAGAAAUCUUAGAGAAGUCUUUAAUGAACCUUUUAUAGAAACCAGCAUGACCAAGGAAACUUCUUAUACCUUUGAUAUCUGUGGGAUAUGGCAUUUUCUCGAUUGCAUCAACCUUAGCCUUAUCGACUUCAAUACCUCUUUCAGAAAUUUUAUGUCCUAAGACGAUGCCUUCAUUAACCAUAAAGUGGCACUUCUCCUUAUUCAAGACAAGAUUGGUGUCUUUACAUCUCUGUAAGACUCAAUCAAGGUUGUUGAGACAAUCAUCAAAAGAAGACCCGUAAACGGAAAAGUCAUCCAUGAAAACCUCGACAAUCUUUUCAUAAAAGUCAGAGAAUAUAGCCAUCAUACAUCUUUGAAAGGUGGCAGGUGCAUUACAUAAGCCAAAAGGCAUAUGUCUAUAAGCAAAGGUACCGAAAGGGCGGGUGAAAGUGGUUUUCUCCUGAUCAGUUUGUGCAAGUGGUAUUUGGGAGAAACCAGAAUAACCGUCUAGAAAGCAGAAGUGUGUGUGUUUAGGCAGCCUUUCUAGCAUUUGGUCGAUAAAAGACAGAGGGUAAUGAUCUUUCCUAGUGGCUUUAUUCAGUUUCCUGAAAUCGAUCACCAUCCUAUAGCCAGUAAUAAUCCUCUGUGGGAUCAAUUCAUCCUUAUCAUUAGGGACAACGGUAAUGCCUCCCUUCUUAGGGACGCAAUGCAUCGGACUCACCCAAUCGCUAUGAGCAACAGGAUAGAUAAUACCCGCUUCCAGGAGAUUUAGUAUUUCUUUUCUUACUACUUCUUUCAUCUUAGGAUUUAAUCUCCUUUGAUGAUCAGCAACUGGUUUGAAGUCAGGAUCAUUUUUAAUCUUGUGCAGGCCUAGAGUGGGACUAAUGCCCUUAAAUCAUCAAGAGUAUAUCCAAUAGCAGCACGGUGAUUCCUCGGAGUUUUUAGUAACUUCUUUUCUUCAUGCUCUGAGAGGCUAGCACUAAUUAUGACAGGAUAUAUCUCCUUUUCAUCAAGAUAAGCAUACUUAAGAGUAUCUGGCAACUGUUUAAGCUCGAGCACAGCAUCACCCUUUGGUGGGGGUGGAUCCCCAAGCAGUUCAGCAGGCAAGAUAUUCCUAAGGAUAGGAUAUUGUUCUAAGACAACUCUAUCUAUCUCAUCCCUUACAUCCAUAUGCAUAUCAUUUUCAUGCUCAAGCAAGUAUUGCUCUAAGGGAUCAGUAGGAGGCACGGCAAUAGAAGCUAAGGCAAUAGUUUCAUCCUUACUAGGCAACUCCUUUUCAUGAGUUUUUCUACCAAACUUGGAGAAAUUGAACUCAUGUGACACUCCUUCAAAGCCCACAGUGACAGUUUGCUUCUCACAGUCAAUAUGAGCAUUGACGGUAUUGAGGAAGGGUCUGCCAAAUAUGAUGGGACAAAAUCUAUGUUGUGCGGUAGAAAGAACGAGGAAAUCAGAAGGAUACUUCGUUUUACCACACAAGACUUCAACAUCCCUAACAAUUCCCAUAGGGCAGAUAGUAUCUCUAUUGGCAAGCUGAAUAGUGACAUCAAUAUGCUCUAUCUCAACAGGUGCAAUCUCGUCUUUGAUUUCAUCAUAUAAGGAUUGAGGUAUUGCACUAACACUAGCACCUACGUCACAUAAACCAUGAUAACAAUGAUCUCCUAUCUUAAUAGAAACCACAGGCAUGCCAACAACAGGCGGCCUAUGUUUGUCUCUAGCAUGAGGUUUAGCAAUUCUAGCAGCAUCUUCACAGAAGUGAAUAUCAUGUCCCUCAACAUCGUCGGACAGAAGAUCUUUGAUGAUAGCAAUGCUAGGUUCAACUCUAAUUUGCUCAGGGGGUGUAGGUGUUCUAAUGUAGCCUCUACGUAUCACAGUUGAAGCUUUAGAAUGAUCCUUUAUCCUAACAGGGAAAGGUGGUUUCUAAAUGUAAGCACUGGGAACCACAGGAUCAUUAUAGGCAAUGACUUUCUCUUCAACUGGAGUGGGUUUAACUACAUUGACUUCUAAAGUAGGAUGAUAUUUAAACCACUUCUCUUUGGGGAUAUCAACAUGAGCAGCAAAGGAUUCACACAAUGAAGCUACUAUUUCAGAGUCAAGUCCAUACUUAGCGCUAAAGUCACUAAAAGUAUUUGUCUCAACAAAGGAUUUAACGCAAUCAAAAGUGAAAUUCAUACCUGACUCCUUACCUUCUUCAAGCUCCCAAUCUUCAGAGUUGCGUUUAAUUCUCUCCAAUAAAUUCCAUUUGAAGUCAAUAUCUCUCUUCAUAAAAGAACUGGUACAAGAAGUGUCAAGCAUGGUGCGAUCAUCAUGAGAAAGUCGAGCAUAGAAGUUCUGAAUGAUAAUUUCUCUCGAGAGCUCAUGAUUGGGGCAUGAAUAUAGCACCGAUUUAAGACUCCCUCAAGCUUGAGCGAUGCUUUCUCUGUCAUGAGGCCAAAAAUUAUAAAUAUAAUUCCAAUCACGAUGUACUAAAUGCAUAGGAUAAAACUUUUGAUGAAAUUCCAAUUUCAACCGAUUGUAGUCCCAUGAUCCAGUAUCAUCACAUAGCCUAUACCAUGUCAACGCCUUAUCCUUCAAAGAUAAAGGAAAGACCUUCUUCUUGACCUCAUCCUCGGGCAAACCUGCAAGCUUAAAUAAACCACAAACUUCAUCUACAUAGAUUAGAUGCAAGUCUUAAUGUGAUAUUCCAUCUCGUGUAAAAGGAUUAGCCAGCAAUUUCUCAAGCAUACCCGAAGGAAAUUCAAAGCAAAUAUUUUCAGUAGGUGCAGAAGGUUGAGGAGAAACACUUUGUGCUUCCGUUCGAGGUGAAGAUACCCCGAACAAGCCCCUCAAAGGAUUAGUAUCCAUAGUGACAAGUGACAAUAAAUUUCAGCACACUAUAUGAAUGUUUCCUUACCAAGUUCCACUUACAAAAGGCGCUUCACUCCCCGGCAACGGCACCAGAAAAGAGUCUUGAUGACCCACAAGUAUAGGGGAUCUAUCGUAGUCCUUUUGAUAAGUAAGAGUGUCGAACCCAACGAGGAGCAGAAGGAUCUGACAAGUGGUUUUCAGCAAGGUAAAAUCUGCGGGCACUGAAAUUGUCGGUAACAAGUGAUUGUGUGGUGAGAUAAUUCGUAGCAAGCAACAUGUAACAAAAGUAGCAACGGUGCAGAAAAGUGUCCCAAUCCCUUUUGUAGCAAGGGACAAGCCUGGACAAAGUCUUAUAGGAGGAAAAACGCUCCCGAGGACACACGAGAAUUUCUGUCAUGCUAGUUUUCAUCAUGUUCAUAUGAUUCGCGUUCGUUACUUUGAUAGUUUGAUAUGUGAGUGGACCAGCACUUGGGUACUGCCCUUACUUGGACAAGCAUCCCACUUAUGAUUAACCCCUCUCGCAAGCAUCUGCAACUACGAAAGAAGAAUUAAGACAAAGUCUAACCACAUCAUUAAACUAGUGGAUCCAAAUCAGCCCCUUACGAAGCAACGCAUAAACUAGGGUUUAAGCUUCUGUCACUCUAGCAACCCAUCAUCUACUUACUACUUCCCAAUGCCUUCCUUUAGGCCCAAAUAAUGGUGAAGUGUUGUGUAGUCAACGUUCACAUAACACCACUAGAGUAAAAACAACAUACAACACAUCAAAUUACAGAACGAAUACCAAAUUCACAUGACUACUAUUAGCAUGACUUAUCCCAUGUCCUCAGGAACAAAAGUAACUACUCACAAAGCAUAAUCAUAUUCAUGACCAGAGAGGUAAUGAGUAGCAUCAAGGAUCUAAACAUAAACUCUUCCACCAAGUAAUCCAACUUGCAUCAACUACAAAGAGUAAUUAACACUACUAGCAACCUUACAAGUACCAAUUGGAGUCGCGAGACGGAGAUUGGUUACAAGUGAUGAACUAGGGUUUGGAGAUGAGAUGGUGCUAAUGAACAUGUUGAUGGUGAUGAGUCCCCUCCGAUGAGAGGAGUGUUCGUGAUGAUGAUGGCGAUGAUUUCCCCCUCCGGGAGGGAAGUUUCCCCAGUAGGAUCGUCCUGCCGGAGCUCUAGAUUGGUUCUGCUCAAGUUCCGCCUCGUGGCGGCGGCGAAACCCUUCAUAUAGCAGAAGAGGGGGGCCAGUAGGCCAGCAGGCUGCCCACAAGCCCUCAUGGCGCGGCCUGGGGGGUGGCCGCGUCAUGCAGGAUUGUGGCCACCCCCUCGUGGCCCUCUGGCGCUUCUUCGGCCCAGUAUUUUUUAUAAAUCCGGAAAAAAUCCUCGUUGAUUUUUUACGGUGUUUGGAGUUGCAUAGAAUAGGUAUCUCAAACUUGCUCCACUUUUAGGCCAGAAUUCCAGUUGCCGACAUUCUCCCUCUUCAUGUAAACCUUGCAAAAUAAGAGAGAAAAGGCAUAAGAAUUGUAUCGUGAAGUGAAAUAACAGCCCAAGAAGCGAUAAAUAUCAACAUGAAAACAUGAUCCAAAAUGGACGUAUCAGCGUUCCCUCCAUAUCCCCUUCAGUUGCUGGUUGCAUGGGUGCGUGCCCGGCGGCUCCGACUCUUGGAGCUUGUCGGGCGGCGCGGGUGAUACGUCUCAAUCGUAUCGACUUUUUAAACACUUUUGCUAUUGUUUUGGCCUCAUUCUUGCAUUAUUUGAAUGAAACUAACCCGGACUGACGCUGUUUUCAGCAGAGCUGUCUAUGUGGUUUUCUUGUGUGCAGGAAAAUGGAUUUUUAGGCGUCCCGGAAAAUUCCAAUAAAAAAUAGAGAAAAUCCACGCACCGGGAGGAACCCUGGGCCAUAAGAUGGGUCGGAGGGGGCCACCAGGCCUCUAGGCGACCUGUGGGCGCGGCCUGCCCCCUGGCCGUGCCGAAAGGCUGCCUGGGUGGGGGCACACCUCCUUUGGUGUCCUACCUUGGCUCCUAUUUUUACCCGUGAUGGAGAAAUCCCAGAAUAGAAGUCGGUUUGCAAGUUCUCGAUGCGGAGCCGCCGCCACCCUCGGUUCUUCUCCGAGAGAGCUAAUCUGGAGGCUGCCUUGGCCUCCAGAGAGGGGAAAUCGUCGUUGUUGUCAUCAUCAUCAGCACUCCAUCACCCUUCCAUGGCUUCCCCCAUCAUGUGUGAUUAAUUCCCUGUUGUAGGUGAAGCGGGUGUUAGGGAUUGGAUGAGUUAAAUCAUGUAAUAGUUAGUCGGAUUGUUGGGGGCAUGUUGCCUAUCAUCUACUAUGGUGUUUAUCAUCUUUGCUACUACUUGUUACUCUUAAUGCUUGUCACUUAGGGCCCGAGUGGCAUGAUUUCAGAUCUGAAUACCUUAUGUUUUCAUGAAUAUAUUUGUGUUCUUGAUCCUAUCUAUGAGUAGUAUGCACCUAUUAUAGUCCGGAGCUGGCGAUCCUAAUGGUGACAGCUAGGGACACCAAAGGGGAUAGACUAUGAUAUGAGGAUUCCAUGUAUCCAUUGAUUGUUAAUGCUUUGUUCCGGUGCUCUUUGAUAGGAGCACCUUAAUCUCGAUAAGUUCCUUUUGGCCCCGUUGGUAGCGGGAUGGUAGGACAAAAGAUGUUGUGCAAGUUCUUAUUACAAGCACGCACGACUACCUUGGGAUACAUGCCUAAUGUUUGCUAUUUGCCUAGAUGAUCAUUACUUUCCUAUGUGCCUUUCCCCAUGUUAAAUACAUGAUAUCUCUCAUCCAUGACCGACCAUCUAUCUCCCUAGCCUACAGUGUUUUAAUCCUGCUGGUUACAAGUUGCUUUACUUUUGCUGUUUUACUUUCGUUGCUUUGCCACCAUUAUUUCCGUUGCCACCAUCACUUCCAUAUCACCGUUGCUACUAAUAUUUCGUUGCCAAGCAAGUAUCUUUCAGGUGCGGUUGAGUUGACAACUCAACUAUUAAAGCUUAUAAAUAUUCUUUGGCUCCCCUUGUGUCGAAUCAAUAAAUUGGGUUAUCUUACCCAUGAAGAAUGUUGCGAUCCCCUACACUUGUGGGUUAUCAGCGGGCUGGGUAGUGGCCUGGUGUGGGUGUUUCUCUGGCCGUGGAUGGCUCCCCGACAGCUUGGCAGGUCGGUUGCCGUGGAGGCUGGCGUGUUCCAGCGUCAGCUCGUCCGUAGGCGACACGUGUCGGCCUUUGAUACCUCUCCUCGUCGUUCGAGAACUACCCUUGUCAAAGUGUUGGACCUUUUCCAACUGAUGGCCAUUGCUCGUCUCGCGCUCAUGGUUCCGCGGGACUAAGCUCGUCUCGUGCCCGACUGCAGGACUGUGCUUGUAUCACGCCAUGGGCUACAGGACGGGUCGACAGAGGCCAGUAUGGCCGGACUAUUGGGUCUCGGCCCUGGGGCCACCCAGGGGUGCGAAAGGUGUGACCUUUCCGCUCGUCUCUUUGGUUGGGGUAGCGGUGGAUCUUGGGUGAAGUGGUGUAAGGUCUUGUAUGUUGGGGCGGCAGCACUGGUGGUGGUAGCACGAUGCUCAUGGGCAUAACCCACAUGGCUUGGUGCUGCCCGAUGACCAUGGUCGUGUGGGCAGAAUGGUUGCUGGUAUGUGUCGUUCGAUGGCGGUGAUUGUCGGCCGGGGUGUAAACAUGUUCUAUCUUCGAUCAGACCGGCAGUGACAAAGCUAGUUCCCUUCUUGAAGGCAUCGUCGUGGCUCUCAUUGUUCAUCGUGUUUCUCCAGGGGAAACUUUGGUUCGAGGAUCACGCGGUGGCUGGUUUCCGAUGUCGUAACCUUCUUGAAAGCACCGCCUUGGAGCCCAUGGUUUGCCAUAUGUGGCUUCAUAUCUUCACAAUGGUGUGUUCAUGGUUGAAGCCCCCGGUUGCUCUCGUAGUGCUAGGGGUGGUAUUGUUGCGGUCUGCGCCUAUGUAUCCUACCUUGGAUGUGUGAGUGUGUUGUGGCGACGUGUGUAUGUACCUGGUUGCUGAUCAUCGUUGCUUUACAUAUAAAGCGGGGUGAAAGCCUUUUUUGGUAAAACAAGAAGUAUACCUUCAAUUCAAGCAUGUGUGAUCAAAUAUUUGAUUUAUUGCUAAAAAUAAUUACAAUAGAAUUCUUGAUCACCAUGUCAAGCCAUAAAUCCAAGGACGAAUGUAUUGUAAGUUGCAUGAUCCGUCCAAGCAUAAUUUUGAGGAUUGCAACAUGUUUUGUCAAAGAGUUAAAUCGGCCAUUGAUAAAGGACGACUAAAAUUUGUUGAAACACCAAAGGAUGACCGGUCUAUUCCUAUUGGUCCUAAUGGCAAACAAUUUUUGCAUCGGCUGCUUCAAGUCAAACAAUUUAAACAUGAGAAGCUAAAAACUAUGGAUAGUGGGAUCAAGAUUUCAAGUAAGGAAGUUGUUAAAGUGCACAAUGAUAAUACUUGAGGGCAAAACUUCCAUCAAAAUUACAAUGAAGACGUCAACUACUCGGGGCCAACAAGAAAAAUCCCAAGAUUGAUGCGAGCACAACCAUAGAAAGCAAAGACCGAGGCAAGCACAAAGGUAGAAAGUUCAAAGUCACGUUCGUGCAACUGUUGGAAAAAUAUCAAAAUAUAAGUGAGGAUAAGAGUGCUUGUCGGCCAAGUAAUUCAAAAUCAUCAAGAUCACCCCUGAAAGGACGUGGAUGUCCCCUAGAGGGGGUGUGAAUAGACACUUUAAAAUAAUUAUGAUUUUGGCUUGAACAAAUGCGGAAUAAAACUAACGUUUAAUUAGUCAAGCAUAGAACAUAAAACAACUUGGCUCACCUAUGUGCAAUAACAACUUAUGCUAAGCAAGCUAAACAACUAAGUGAUAGCAAGAUAUAUAACAAGAAACAAUAUGGCUAUCACAAAGUAAAGUGCAUAAGGGCUCGGGUAAGAGAUAAUCGAGGCAUGGAGAGACGAUGAUGUAUCCUGAAGUUCACACCCUUGUGGAUGCUAAUAUUCGUUCGGAGUGGUGUGGAGGCACAAUUCUCCCCAAGAAUCCACUAGGGCCACCGUAAUCUCCUCACGCCGUCACACAAUGCAAGAUGUUGUGAUUCCACUAAGGGAACCUUGAGGGUGGUCACCGAAGCCGUACAAACAAGGUUGGAGAAAUCUCCACAACUUAAUUGGAGCCUCCCAACAUGACCACGAAGCUUCACCACAACGGAUUGUGGCUCCAAGGUGACCUCAAAUGCUCGAGGCAAUGUCCACAACCUAAUUAGAUACCGCGCCGAUUUCCCGGAGCUUUACACCAUAAUGAUUGAGUUCUGAGGCACCACCAGCCAUGUAGGGCGCCAAAGCACCCAAGAGGAACAAGCUCUAGGGUACCAAGCAUCCAAGAUUAAUAAGCUUCUCAACUUUUCGCUUCCACGUAUCACAAUGGAGAACUUAAACUGAUGCACUAAAUGCAAUGGCAAGGAAACACGGAGUGCCCAAGUCCUUCUCUCUCAAAUCCCACCACAACAACUAAUGCUAUGGAAGAAAGUGAGAGGAAGAACGAAGAAGAACACGAAGAACUCCAAGAUAUAGAUCCAAGGGGUUCCCCUCACAAAGACAAGAAGGUGAUUGGUGGAAGUGUGGACCAAGAUAUUCUCUCUCUUUUCCCUAAAGAACUAGCAAGAAUCAUUGGAAGGAUUGAGAGUUAGCAAGCUCGAAGAAGGUCAACAAUUGGGUAAGAACACGAGCUCAAGUGAUGGGGAACCAUUAGGGAAGAAGACCCCCUUAAAUAGGUCCCCCUUAAUCCAGCCAUUAUGUGCACAGGUCGUGCACAAGUGGUACUACCGCUCGGCUAAGCGGUACUACCUCUUGGCGUAGUGGUUCUAGGAAAAGUGUGCAAAAUAGCCGAAUCUUUGAGGCGGUAGUGCCGUUGGAGCGGUACUACCGGCCUACCCCGUGGUACUGCCGUCGGGGAUGCACUAAGAAUCCAGUGCCCAAAAAUAAGCGGUAGUAGCAGUGGUACUAGAGAGCGGUAGUACCAAGCGGGUGGUACUACCGCCCUACUACCGUGCUAUUGUCGUGAGUGAAGAGCAGACCAAGAGAACCACAAAAUAAGCGGUGGUAUCAGUGGUAGUACAUAGCGGAAGUACCGCCUAAGCGGUACUACUAUGGUACCGAGCGGUACUACCGCCUCAGCAGUGAAAACUGUCCUGAGAAAUGAAACUGCCAUAACUUUCGCGUACGAGCUCUGAAUUGAGCAAACUCAAGCUUGUUGGAUUCUGGAAGGCAAGAUUUAUCUUAAGAAGAGGCAUUUAUGAAAACAAUAAUAUAGAGAUCUGAAACCUCUAUGAUUGAAGACCGACAAAAGCUCCAACAUCAAAAACAUCAUGCUAGAUGCAUAUGGACUCCGUUUUCGAUGAAAUUGAGCUUGUCAUGAAGAUGACCAUAAGCUCGAGAACCUACAUAGAGAAAAACUAUCCAAGAACCAAGAAAUAUGGUGAUGCCAAUAAUGCAAUGGUUUGAGCUCUGAACAAACGAUAUGAUCUAGCUACUCACCUGAGAGCCCCCCUUGAUAGUAUGGAAAUCGGUCCUAUAACUCGGUCUCCCAACUACCACCAUGAGACCGUUAAAAUAGAAAACCUAUCAAGGGCAAACCUUUGCCUUGCGCAUAGUCCACCUGAACUAGAUGGUGAUGAUUUUGUCUUUCUCAAGACGGACCACCUUUCUUGAUUGCGUCGGCUCCGUGAAGGCUAGUAGAUUGCUCCCCCAUACUCCACUAUGGGUGAGCCACUCUUCAGCACAUCUUCACAAGCCCAUUGCCACCACAAUGGAUGGCAAGCUUCAAGCAUGAUAUCUUCAUGAUGCUCCACUUGAACUUGCACACCGUAAUCUUCCAUGGGUUGAAUCAUAUCUUCAUCCUGACGCAAGCCCACAUAGAACUCUCAGGAAGACCAUGGGUUAAUACACAAAGUGUAAUGGAGAAUUCUUAUCAUACCAUGGCAUCACUUGAUCCCUCUUGGUACAACUUGUACGCUUUGUGUGUUGAUCAACUUGAUUCACUCUUUAACUUAGUCUUGAUCAACCUUGUGUCUUUAUGACCAAUCUUUGGAUAAAACCUUGAAUACCACCCUGGUCACUGUAUAAACUCCUUGAAACCAAUAGAUUGACUUCAAGAACUGCAUAUGGAUAGAUCAUUCAAAUAUAACUUAAGGCAACCAUUAGUCCAUAGGGAUUGUCAUCAAUUACCAAAACCACACAUGGAGAAAUAUGUUCUAACAAUCUCCCCAUUUUGAUAAUGGAUGACAACCAUUUUUAAGAGAGUUUAUAUACGUAAAUAAUCACAACCAAGCACACACAUGCAAAGCAAUAAUGCAUGGGUAUGAGAUGCAAAUGCUUAAGCAACAAAAGCAAAACUAUGUUAACUUUUAAAACUAAACUCUCUAAACUUUCAUGUGAUAUUUCGGAGUUGUGGAAAGGACUGAAGAGACUUUAUUUCCAUUCAUAGAAAUAAGUAGAGCUUGAAAUCAAGAGUGAUGAUCAUUCUAGGACAUGUUUUUUCAUGGUUUCAACCUAUAAAUUGUUACAAGAACUUCCACUUUUUCACUUGUGAAAAGGAAAACACAAUUUUUCAUUAUUUUCUUGACACGCCUCUUAUCAAUGAAAAGACUCAUGCUAUCUUAUUAUCUAUUACAUUGUAGCUAAAACAUGUGAAUUUUUCUAGGGUCAACUUAUUUGAGCUUCUUUUCCUUUUUAGCAAUAGACUAUGGUGACCGUACCACCAGGAAUUGGUAUGCUUCAGCAGUUAUUUGUCUAUGUAGGAAACACAGACAACUCAUGUUGAUUUCUAUUCAGACUUAGAGAUGGACCAUAUUAACACACAUUAUUUUUAUGAGGCAGAGGUCAAUGGGGCCACGCUAGAGGAGCGGCAGGACCAUGCGGAUGUGAACGCCAAUGAGAGGCAGGCGGCGAUGUAAUGGAAACAGGCACGACGGGGACAAUAGGAAACUUGAUGAUCCUUUGGCGAUAGCGGAUGCACCAAAAAUUGAGGAGGGUGUUAUUGCGAGGAGGCAGUGAUAGUGAAGUGGCGACAGAUUUUCCAUUACCUCUGUCGUACGUGUCUCCAAGGGAGCACUGUGUCUACUCCUGCAAUGGGGAGAGACUAGAAUCGAAUCUACCUUUAGGUGAGAUCGUGGGAUCAACCUAAACUAUUUAUAUUUAGAACAUUACAAAAACUAAAAUUAUUUGACAACAAACCUAUGUUGUAUGUCUACAACUUCAAAAAUAACUAGCUCAAAUCUCGAUAUACAAUUACAUUUACAAAAUGAAAAAUUGAAUUGUGUAUAGUGUCAGUUGUGGGUGAAUGGUAUUUGACACUAUUCCAAGCUUACAUUAUAAUGCAGUUUAUCCCAAAGAUACGAUUUUCAUCAUGUGUCUGUUGUAGCCAAGCCCAUACAUCCCCUCCUGCCCUUAGUAAUUUUGACGCCCCAUAUUUUAAUUUUGAACCCUAAAAUGUUGUACUCAGUUGGCACCCCAGAUAUGUUACACUCUUAGUAUUCAGUUUGAAUUAUAAGCAGGCAUGAUGCUCAAUGUUGUACCAACGAACAUCAGGGCGUGUACUUAGUUCCGACUAAGAAAGUUCAGGUUGGCUAUUUUCCUUUUUUACACACAUCAUAGUGAGUAGCUGCAAAAGAGUUCUAUCCUUUUGAGAUUUGUGGAAGAUAAGGUACCAUCAAUAAUCUCGCAUAAUAUGAUACGGAUAUCUUCAAGCAUGUGGCUAUCCCAUGAUCUUGAGUUGUAUUACUAAAGCAUGGAUCUUUAUGUAUAAGUGUAAAAAUGUCCUAUAGUUAAUUUUUUUGUAUCAUUUUAAGUUUCGCAUUUGUUGCCUUUACCUAAUGAUAACCCAUUAGCAAAUAAAAGUAAGUACUUUGUUCCUUAUUUUAGCACCUAAUUUACAUGUGUUAUGUUGUUAAUAGUACCAUUUUGUUUAGUUUUCAUCCCCUUUUGAUUCCGCAUACCUUGUUUCUAAUUAUUUAAGUUCAGAUUGUCCCUUCAAACGCAACGAGUCAAGUCUAGGUUAUGGUAGCAUAAUGCGUCCACUCCUAACAUGAGAUUAAAUUCUUCUAAUUUCAGGUAGGAAACUAUCAUGGUUAUCAUUUUACUCUUUGGAUGUUGCACAAAUGCUUGAACAAUUUCAUCCCCUUUUAGAUUUCAGUGUUGUGGUUGCAAAAGCUUUCUUGGAAAUGUCUUAUUGAGUUGCCAUUUUUGGAUUACAUGGACUGGUGAACCACAAAUGUGCGACAUAGGGCUUUGAGUAGACAUCGGCUCCAUGGUUCCAUUCUGCAAGAUGUGGCUUGGAUUGUCGUGCUACUAAAAAAACCAAUGGUGGUCAUGCUUGGUUUUGAAAUUGGGAAGAUUUAAUUCAAGAUUUUAAUAUUUUCCUGUUUUUGUAUGGACAAUGUGUGUGUCGUUUAUGAAAUGUUUAGCUAUGUUUGGUAGAUGAAUACAAACUCUUUUCUAUCCACAUUUACCAUGAAGAAUGAAACACACAUGAGUUGGCUCACUUGAGUUCCUAUGCUAACUGAUAAUCCAUGGAGUCUCUUAUUCAGAAUGCUAUACAUUUUUGUUUUAGGGUCAUAUUGACUAGCAUUUAAGUAAUGUCGGACCAUGUCAAAUGAUGGUAGUGUGAAGCGGAUAUUACUUCUAUUUUAUUACGUCAAAUGUGAAGCUUAUGCAAGGAGAUACCAUUUUAGGUACUUUGCAUCAGAAUGCAAGAGGUCUACUUUUGCAUUAAUAAGAGGGGAAUAAUGCAAGUCUACUACAGAGCUUAGAUGGACAAAGAAAGAAAACUAAACUUAUGAUUUAAUUUUGAUACUCUCUAACAAGUUUGUGAAGUGCUGAGUUAACUUUCUAGAGUACAUGUAGGGUCACAAUUAUCAUUAUGUGGAUUGGAACAGACAGCUUCAAGUAUCCAAAAUUUAAACUCAAAUUAGACAUGUAUUACACUUGCACCCUUACUAGUGAAAUAAACUCAAUGAGAUGAUUAGUACUCUCAUAUUGUUUUGUCUAAUCGUCGGAAGUAUGAGUUUUACUUCGGUACAACACUCCUCACUAAAAAAAUUCCAACUCCUAUACGCGUACGUUUUCCAUCUCCUAUUUCCGAUCCAUUUACUUCCUUUUCUAACUAGGGAAUAUUUGGCGGCAAAUGAGAAUCGAACCCCAAACCUCAUCCUUAUAUUCCAGCCAUGCUAACCAUCUUUUUCUUAGACAAUGUCGCGAAGCUUUAUUUAACUGUGACCAAUGUUUACAUGAGUGAAUGCAAAUCACCGGGAUUUCCUAACCACACAUGACGGCCAACCCCUAACCUAAUAACAUGCUUCGCUAAAUUGUGAGCCUCAAAAUUCAAGCUCCUAAACUCAUGAACAAAGUGCAGGAUAUAAAUGAGUUUUUAUGGUAUAUAAUCUCAUGUAAUAUAGCUCCAUAGCUUGGCGGAUUCCCUUGCUUGAUAUCAUCCACCACCACCUUGCAAUUUGAAGCCACAUAUAUGUUUUGCACAUUGAGAUCUUCUGCUAGGGCUAAGGCCUCGCACGCCGUUAAUGCUUCAAGUGUUGUUGGGUCAUUUAUAACUUUGAAGACAAUAGCUGACACCCCUUGGAAUAUUCCAAUUGUGAUCACGACAUAUGGCUACAGCAACCCCUCGUCUCUGGUUUGGUGAAACAGCAACAUCAACAUUAACCUUGAAAACGAGUGUAGGCGGAGGGACCCAUUGGGACAGCCGGGCCACUUGUGGCCUCGAUGGAGUGUUCCCAUGAUCCUUUAUCACAUGUAAAUCUGAGAUGUAAGACUGGACAAAGAGAUUAACAAAUUGUGGGCUUUGGAACUCUUCCUAAUAUAUGGCUUUUCGUCGCGUCCUCUGCACCGCCCAGAGAGUGACAAUCAUUAGAACAAAGUCCUCUUGUGGUAGCUCCUCAUGCAUUGAAAAUAGCUUGUUUCUUGCAUUAGGGUCCAUGUUUAGACUCAUCUUCUCGACUAGAUCGUCCUUUGCGAGCGCCCAAAUACAUCUCGACAUGGUGCACUCCAAGAGUGCAUGUCUCCACAAAUCCUCUCGUUCACACAAGACACAAACCUUUGAGGUGGCCAUGUGACGGUGGCAUAGCAGGUCCAUCGUUGGCAUUGGAUUUUGAGCCAGGGGCCAUAAGAACACCAUCAGUUUUGAGGGGACCUGAAUAUACCAUAGCCUCGUCUGUUCUUUGCUCGUUGUACCUGGUCCUAACUCUCCUCCAAUUCUUCUAUACAAUUCUCCUGGUGCUCGCAUGUGUUAAUCACCAUGCGGUAUGCCGAACAGACCGAGAAAGUCCCAUUCCUCUCGGUCGACCAUGCCUAGAUAUCGUCCACAUUCCUUGUGCAUAACGGUAGCGACAUGAUAGUGUCCGCAUCAAAAGGUAAGAAUGUGGCUCUUACGAAGUCUUCCUUCCAUAUUGUUGUGGUUCCAUCGAUCAGCUCUGACACCAAGGUUGGGUGGUCACUUGUGAGAGCUGUAAUUGGCCGCAAGGGUCUCAUCCUAGGUAACCAAUUUGUAUCCCAAAUAUUGGUAGUUUGCCCAUUUCCUAUACACUUGAUGACCCCUUGUUUCAGAAUUUCUCUACCAUCAAGGAUAGCUCUCCAAAUCUAUGAUGGGUGGCUUCCAAGUUCCCCCUCCAGAAAAUUUGUGUUUGGGAAGUAAGCAGCCUUGAGACUUUUUGCACUAACAGAAAUUGGCUCCAUCAGCAGUCUCCAUGCCUGUCGGGCUAGGAAGGCGAGAUUAAAAACCUCCAAGUCCCUAAAAUGCAUUCUGCCAAGGUAUUUAGGCUUUGUCAUAACAUCCCAGGAGACCCAAGUUGGUUUCCAUUUGCCUCAUUUGCUUCCCCACUAGAAUUGCAGAAUAAUAGAUGUAAUAUGUUCACAUAGCCCCCAUGGCAACCUGAAACAAGACAUAGAUUAAACUGGUAUGGCUUGGGCCACUGAUUUCAUAAGGACUUCCUUCCCUAGAGCCGCAAGGAGCUUCUCCAUCCACCCUUUCACCUUUUCCCAAACUCUAUCUCUUAAGUAUUUAAAAGUCCACAUCUUUGAAUGACCGAGAUUUAUUGGCAUUCCCAAAUAUAUGUCACUCAGAGCUUCAUUAGUAACAUUUAGAGUGCUUUUGAUGUUAUCUCUCAAAGAUUGUGGGCAACCCUUGCUAAAGAAAUUCAUCGAUUUGGCAUGAUUGAUUAUUUUUCUCGAAGCAUUACAAUAAUUAUCCAAGAGGUUUGAAACCAUGGCAGCUCCCUCAUCACUAGACUUGAACAACAACAGGCUAUCAUCGGUAAAAAGGAGAUGGUUAAUAGCUGGAGCUGUCGGUGCCACCUUGAUCCCUUCCAGGACUAACCAUUGAGAACAGUAUUUCAAAAGGCACAAGAGGCCCUCUGCUGCGAUCAAGAAAAGAUAGGGGAGGUAGGAUCUCCCUGGUGGAUACCCCGCGUGGGUAUAAACUCUUCGAGCUUUUAUCCAUUAAACAACACCGAAAAGGAUAAUGAUCUUACCAUGCCCAUUACUGUGUUUAUCCAUGAUCAUGCAAAACCCAGCUUCUCCAUCAUAGCUUGCAAGUAAGAACACUCCAGCGUGUCAUAUGCUUUCAUCACAUCUAGUUUUAAGGCAUAGAAACUAUUCGAUUUUGCCUUACUCCUCUUCAUGAAGUGCAAGCACUCAUAGGCACUAAUGAUGUUGUAUGUGAUCAACCUUCUUGGUACAAAUGUUGAUUGUUCCUCAAAGAGUAUGUCAGAAAGAAUCACCUUGAGCCUGUUUGCCACCACCUUGGAGGCAAUUUUGUAUAUUAGAUUGCAUAGGCUAAUGGGAUGAAACUAAGAAAGCGAACUAGGAUUUAGAACCAUCAGGAUCAACACCAAUACCGUAUCAACACAUUCAUCUCCCUCUUCACCUCUCACAAUUUUCAGAAUCGCCUUAGUUACUUCGUCCCCGCAAAUGUCCAAUGCCUCUGAUAAAAAUGAGCAGGAAAACCAUCAGGCGUUGGUGCCUUCAUAGGGAACAUCUGAAAUAGACUUCCUCAAUCGUGUAGUGCCACAAGCUUUGGAUUCGUAUCUGCCGUAACUCUAAUUGAGACCUUUGGCAGCACAUCACCCAUGCCCGUAACCCCUUCAGAAGUGUAAAGAUUCUUGUGAAAAUCGGUUACAAGUACUCUAAGUUCAACUAGGUAUUCCGUCAACAUCCCCAUGGAAUUUCCAAGAGAUUUGAUCGUGUUCUUCUUCCACCUCUGACUAGCACGGAGGUCAAAGAAUCAUGUAUUCCUAUCUCCGGCUAAUAGCCAUUCCAGGUGAGAUCUUUGCUUCCACAUCAUCUCUUCCCGGUGAUAUAGCUCAAUUAGUUUUUCAUUAACCUUCAACUCCACAUGAGUCAAGGCUAUUCUACUUGGUGCGCUUCGCAAGCGUUCCAAUUCAAGAUUUAGACUUUUUAUUUCUUUCCUUAUAAUGACGAAGGUGUUCUUAUUCCACGACUCUGACCUUCUUGACACGUUAGAUAGUUUUGCCCUCAAGCCGCAAAAGCACUCCGCCGAUCCUCCCAAAGUCCAGCUAGAAGUGAUUGUGUCCUGCCAAGUUUCAUGUGUCUCCUACAUCACCUCAUAUCUAAACCUCCGCUUGGCUUUUGGUGGCAUCAUCCCCUACAACUUCAGCAGUAUCGGGCAAUGGUCAGAUGUUGUUGUUGUUAAGUGCGAGAGAGAUGCAUCGGGAAACCGGUCAUUCCAUUCAUUGUUGCUAGCGCUUGGUCAAGGCGAACCCGAGUGAAACUCCCACCAGUUACUUUCUUCUCAAAAGUCCAGAACUUUCCUUGAUGACCAGUGUCCAUCAGCAUGCACAGGUCCACUGUGUCCCUAAACCCCAUGAUGCUCCUCCGGGCGGAGGACUUUGUUGAAAUCUCCAAUGCAAAGCCAAGAGACGCUGCUCAGGGUGCAUAACCUUUUAAGACAUCGCAAGCCUGAUGGCGUAGAUGUGUUUGUGCUUCCCUUUAGAAAAGGGUCAUCCUCCACGGGUCAGCAUCCGGUUCCUCAAUGCAACAAUCAAUAUGGUAAGUCAUAUAACCAAUAACAUCGAUUUUUAUUAGAUUAUUCCAGAACACACCCAUACCACCACUUCUACCAUGACUACUCACCGCAAAAGCAUUAUCGUAACCAAUACUAGAAUCUAAACUUUCUACCCUCGACCUGCCAAUCUGAGUUUCAACAAUGCAUGUAAGAGUAGGGGCAACAUCCUUUGCAAGAUCGUGAAGUUCUGUCACUCUCACAGUGUUGCCUGCACCACGAUAGUUCUAGCUAAGUACAGUCAUUGUGCCAGGCGGUGCUCCUCGAGGGAGCCCGCUGAUGUUGCAUAGGUUUAUUUAGUAUCUCAUUCCCUGCAAUCCGCCUGUCCGGCUCUGAUACCAACUUGUAACGCCCAAGAUGCGGUCCUAUCCUUAUUCUGGCUCGAGGGCCUCGACAGGGAUAGAAGUGCAUCUCUUCCUUUCACAAGAAUGGAUAUCGUUACAAGUACAUCUAAAGAAGAGAUGAGUAUAUGGAAUUUUCUUACACUCGCCACAAGCUAAUCAUGAUCAUCCCAAUACACACAUACAUUUAGUCACCAGUCAGAAGAACAGGGUCCGACUACGGAAGAAAUCAAACGAAUAAACCACAUCCAUCCUUGCUAUCCCAGGUUGUCGGCCUCGAACCCAUCCUAUGACCGAUGAAGAAGAAGAAGAAGAAGAAGAAACUCCAAACAGAACAAACAUCACGCUCAUGUCAAAGUAUCACUUUACUUGUACCUGUAACUAUUGUUGUAGUAAUAUAUGAGCCGCACGGACUAAGAAACCUCAUUUCCAAAGGUAUCAAGACUAGGAAAGCUUAAUGGGUGAGGUAUGGUUAAGUGGUGAGGCUACAACAAGCACUAAGCAUUUAUUUGAGUGGCUAACUUACGAGUACAAGACUAAGAGGGUGGUGAUCUACGCAUAAACGGACGUGAACUAAUAAUGAUCAAGAAAUGAUCAUGAGCACCUACUUAUGAAUCAAGCAUAAUCCCACCAUGUCCUCUCUCAUAUUCAGAACUCACGAGUAGAGAGAGUCACAGUUACGCACACAGUAGUCAUAUUUUAAUUGAGUUUACUCCAAGUUUGCUAUGAUCGGGUGUUAAAAAAAGAUUCCUAGUUUCCAUAUAACCGCGGGCAUGGCUUUCUGAAACAUUUAACCCUGCACGGGUCAUCCAACUAGUCCAUCACAAACUACCACAAGCUGCAUGGAAUAACCUCAAUCACGGAAAACUCGUAGUCUCCUCGAAAAUUUUGAUGGAAAACCUCAACAUCGAGAUAGCCCAAAGUAUCCUCGGAAUCCCGCGCACAAGACUUUCGAGAAAGGUAAAACAAAUCUAGCAAGGCCACCCGGUGAGCCAGAUCCGCAUCUAGAGUUGCGUGCUCUCUAUCUACGGGCGUCAUCCGUCUACGCAAAGUGGAUGAUAGCCAGAAAAUGCCUCGAGUCUCCCCGAGGUGGCAUCGCCGUCAUGAGGAGCACUGGCCCGGGGGGUUGAUUCAUUAUACACGGGGGCCAACAGGUCCCUAUGCAAUUUUAUUAGUUAUUAGCAAAAUGUAGUACCAAUGGUGGGCCUUGCCAGAAGAGUUAAAUCCCAAAACAAAAAUCAAGGGGGUCCCCAUAGCAACCCCAAGCAUGUUAGGAGCACUCAAUAUGGAACAUAACACCGGUACCCAAGUAACUAGGGCGGAAAAGGUGGAACAAAACACCGAGCCAAAAGUCCAAGCCUUCCACCUCUUACCAAGUAUAUAGGUGCAUUAAAUUAAAUAGCAAUAAUAUUAUGAUAUAUCAAGAAAUCCAUGUUGUCACAUGGAAAUCAACUUGCACCUGCAACUAGAAACGCUAUACGAAGGGUUGAGCAAGCGGUAACAUAGCCAAACAAAGGUUUGCUGGGAUGUGGAGGGGGUUAGAGGCUUUUCAUGGCAAUGUUAGGAGGCUUGACAUUUAAGUGGUAGGUAAUGAGACAUAACGAUAGAAGCGAGACAACUAGCAUAGCAAUGAUAGUAGUGGUAUCCAGGAAAAUGGUCAUCUUGCAUGAGAUCCCUCUUUAAAGAAGAACGGAUCCGUGAAGUAGGUGAACCAACGGAGUCGAACGAAUUCUCACACUCUGACACGCUUGCGGAACUCUAUCAAGAAGAAGGAAUCCAGAAACAAAAAUCAACACCCGAUAAACACCACCACAUAUGCAUGACAUGAUGUGCAAAAAAAUAUGAUGCAUCUCCUUUUUAAAUAUGCGGGGCAUGACAAUCAAAACAAUCAAAUACUACACAUUAAGUGAAGCUCAAUAUGCAACGAGUUGCAUAUUGACGAAACUCCACAUUUGAAUAACUUAGUUCACUCCCAUUUAGGUACAUGACAAUAUUAAAUGUUGUUAAACAUGGAAAGAGGUGACGCAUAAAUAAACUAUAUAUCUAGGCAUUUUAAAUGAGGUUGGAAAUAACAUAUAGCAUUUCCGAAAUGACCCAUAUGUUAAUUCCGAAAUUGGUCCAGAUCUAAACUAAACAUAUUUUAUAUUUUUUUAAAUACGAAAAUAAAUUACAGCAUGUGAUUCUACAUGUCAUUCUAGUUGAAUUACAUAUAUGGAUCAUUCAGACGGAGCUAUGGCCUAGAAGAUAUGACCAUCACAAGAUAAUAUGCCAUGGAUGCAAAAUGUAGGCAAAUGACAACCACAACCAUGUUAAAUCCUGAGUGUAGCAAGAUAUUAUGAAACUACAUGAGAUUCUAGGCAAUUUUUGUUAGAAAUAUGCCCUGGAGGCAAUAAUAAAAUAGUUAUUAUUAUAUUUCUUUGUUCAAGAUAAUCGUUUAUUAUCCAUGCUUGAAUUGUAUUGAAUGGAAACUUAGAUACAUGUGUUGAUACAUAGACAACACAUUGUCCCUAGUAAGCCUCUAUUGGACUAGCUUGUUAAUCAAAGAUGGUCAAGGUUUCCUGGCCAUAGGCAAGAGUUGUCACUUGAUAAUGGGAUCACAUCAUUAGGAGAAUCAUGUGGUGGACAAGACCCAAACUAUGAACGUACCAUGUGAUCGUAUCAUUUUAUUGCUACUAUUUUUCUGCAUGUCAAGUAUAUGUUCCUAUGACCAUGAGAUUAUGUAACUCACUAACACCAGAAGAAUACCUUGUGUGUAUCAAACGUCGCAACGUAACUGGGUGACCAUAAAGGUACUCUGUUGAGUUGGCAGGGAUCAAGACUGGAAUUUAUCACUCUCUGUGAUGGAGAGGUAUCUCGGGGCCCACUCGGGAAUACAACAUCACAACAGCCUUGCAAGCAAUCUGACUAAAGAGUUAGUCACGGGAUUUUGUAUUAUGGAACGAGUAAAGAGACUUGCCGGUAACGAGAUUAAAGUAACAUGCCGAAGGAUAGAGGAAAUAAUAUACGGGACUAAAUGAACCCUUGAGAUAGAGGUUCAACCGAUAAAGAUCUUCGUAGAAUAUGUGGGAGCCAAUAUGGACAUAUAGGUCCCGCUAUUGGUUAUUGACCGGAGAGUGUCUCGGUCAUGUCUACAUAGUUCUGGAACCCACAGGGUCUGCACACUUAAGGUUCGGUGACGUUUCGGUAUAGUUGAAUUACGUAUGUUGGUGACCGAAUGUUGUUUGGAGUCCCGGAUGAGAUCCCGGCGUCACGAGGUGUUCCGGAAUGAUGCACAGACAAAGAUUGAUGUAUAGGAAAGGUAUAUUUGGAUGCCGGAAAGAUUUUGGGUAUUUCAGAUAAAGUACCGGGAGUGACGAAUGGGUUUCGGGGGUUCAUCGGGAGGGGCCACCCACCCGGAGAGGACCACAUAAACCCAAGAGGCGGCGCACCAGCCCGUGGUGGGCUGGGCGGCCAACCCCAUUGUCCUAUGCGCCGAAUAGAGAAGAGGUGGGGCAAUCCCACUAGGAGGAGGACUCCUCCUCCACCAAACCGAGUUGGAGGUCUCCUCCUUCCUUGUGCGCCGCCUAGGGGUUUUUACCUAGGGCGACACCCCUCCCUCCCACCUAUAUAUAAUGGAGAGGAGAGAGGCUAGCCACACCAUAAGCCACGACGCAACCCCUCUCCUUCCACUACUUCGUGACACCCCGUAGGCUAAUUCGGCAGCUGAUACGUCUCCAACAUAUCUAUAAUUUUUGAUUGUUCAUUGCUAUUAUAUUAUCUAUUUUGGAUGUUCUAUAUGCAUUAAUAUGCUAUUUUAUAUUAUUUUUGGGACUAACCUAUUAAUCUAGAGCCUAGUGUCAGUUUUUGUUUUUUCCAUGUUUUUUGAGUAUUGCAGAUAAGAAAUAUUAAAUGGAGUCCAAAUGGAACAAAAUCUAAGGAAAGAUUUUUCUUGGACCAGAAGACACCCAGGAGACUUGGAGUAGGGGGCAAGGCACUUGCCAGGAGGCCACAAGCCUACAGGGCGCGCUCUAGGGGGUGACAGCGCCCCUGGCUUGUGGGCCCCCUGCAGGUCUCCUAACCCUAUUUCUUGGCCUAUAAAUUCCUAAAUAUUAUCGUAUCGCAAAAGACAGACACGAAAAUACUUUUACGCGGCGGGGAGCCUCUGUUCUUGAGAGAAACAAUCUGGGAGCUUUUUCCGGUAAUCUGCCGAAGAGGGAAAUGAUCACGGAGGGCAUCUACAUCAACUGCAUUGCCCCUCCGAUGAUGUGUGAGUAGUUCACCAUAGACCUACGGGUCCAUUGCUAGUAGCUAUAUGGUUUCUUCUCUCUCAUUGAUCUUCAAUACCAUGUUCUUCAUGAUCUUCAUGGAGAUCUAUCCCAUGUAAUACUCUUUUGCGGUGUGUUUGUCGAAAUCCGAUGAAUUGUGAGUUUAUGUUCAGAUUAUCUAUGAAUAUUAUUCGAGUCACUUCUGAAUUAUUAUAUACAAUAUUUCAUAUCUCUGCAACUCUCUUCGAAUUAUUGGUUUGGUUUGGCCAACUAGAUUCGUCAUUCUUGCAAUGGGAGAAGUGCUUAGUUUGGGGUUCAAUCUUGUGGUUUCCUCACCCAGUGACAUAGUAGGGGUAGCGAGGCACGUAUUGUAUUGUUGCCAUCAAGGAUAAAAAGAUUGGAUUUUCAUCAUAUUUCUUGAGUUUAUCCAUUUACAUCAUGCCAUCUUACUUAAUGCGUUACUCUGUUCUUCAUGAACUUAAUACUCUAGAUGCAGGCAGGAGUCGGUCGAUGUGUGGAGUAAUAGUAGUAGAUGCAGAAUCGUUUUGCUCUACUUGAUACGGACGUGAUGCCUAUAUGCAUAAUCAUUUCCUUAGAUAUCUUCAUAAUUAUUUGAUUUUCUAUCAAUUGCUCGACAGUAAUUUGUUCACCCACCGUAUUAUUUUCCUUUAUGGGAGAAGCCUCUAGUGAAACCUAUGGCCCCCGGGUCUAUUUUCCAUAUUAUAUUUUCAGAUCUAUAAACCAAAAAUACUUUGCUACAAUUUAUUUACUUUUAUUUCCGCAAUCUUUUAUAUCUAUCUCUAUCAGAUCUCAUCCUUGCAAAUAACUCUGAAGGGAUUGACAACCCCUUUAUAGCGUUGGGUGUAAGUGUUUGAUUAUUUGUGUAGGUACUACUAUUGGGGCCUUGCUUGUUCCUCCUGCUGGAUUGAUACCUUGGUUCUCAACAAACACAGGGAAAUACUUAUCUACUUCGAUGCAUCACUUUUUCCUCUUCAAGGGAAAACCAACUCAAGCUCAAGAGGUAGCAAGAAGGAUUUCUGGCGCCGUUGCGGGGGAGGAUACAUAGCAAGAUCACGCCUACCAAGUAUCCAUCACAAACUCAUCUCUUGCAUUUCCUUUAUUUUCCAUUUGCCUCUCGUUUUCCUCUCCCCCACUUCUCAAAAUAUUUUCAGAAAAUACCAAAAAGAUUUGCCCUUUUUAUUUGCCUUUUUGUUUGCCUCUCUCCUCCCGGAUCUCUUACUUGUCUCUGUGACUAGCAUUACCACUUCCCCUUUGUCACCAGAUUUUUAACUUUUAUACUUCAAACAAAAACAAAGGGAGAAUUUGAAAGAUGGAUGGUAUAGGCUAAUGGAAACCUAUCGUAUCUCCAACCUAAAAGGAGAUGCGAAGGUUUUGCUUAGAAAUUUUUACAUUGGAUUGGCUUUACAUCAUAGAGAACUUUUAGAUUUUGCCUCGAAAGGGAAUUUUAUUGAAUUAAAUACAAACGUUGCUUAUGAAGUCUUGGAGGGGAUUUUGGGGGUUCCUCCACAGAAAAAGGGGUUUAAUUUUUCAAAAGAGGGAGUUCAAACUCUCGACAAAUUCAGUGACUUACAUAAGCACUUAAUCGAGUUACAACAAUAUCACGAACACCUUAAACAUAUCAAUGGAAACAUCAACCGUUUGAACACUUUGAUUACCCUUUGCAAUAAGAGUUUGGAUACUUUGGACAAUAAGGUGGUUUAUUCACCUACAAACCCGGGGAAGAGGAAAAAGCCCCCCGGAUUUGAGAAAUCCUUCACGAAAAUUGUCAAUAGAAAAGAUGAGAAUACCUAGAUCUAUUGCAUUAUGCCUAGCUAGGGGCGUUAAACAAUAGCGCUUGUUGGUCGGCAACCCAAUUUUAUUUGUUUUGCUUUUGUUUUUGCUUCUGUUUUCGAGUGCAGCACAUAUUAUUACCUCUGUAAUAAUUGUGUUUUCUUGUUUCAAUUAGUGUUUGAGCCAAGUAAGACCUUUGGGAUGGUCUAUGGUGUUUGCAAGUUGAUUUUGCUGAAAAACAGAAACUUUCGCUCUCAGUCUAGGAAUUUUAUAAAUUCACUGGAGUGUGCUUUUGAUCUGAAUUGUUUUACACAAGAUUAAUAUACAAAUUUGCCAGAUCUUCCUAAUUUUUCAUAAUUUUUUGAGUUACCGAAGUAUUCGAAGUAAACAGAUUUCUACAGACUAUUCUGUUUUUGACAGAUUCUGUUUUCUUUGUGUUGUUUGCUUAUUUUGAUGAAUUUAUGAGUUGUAUCAGGGGUAUGAACGAUGGAGAAGUUGGAAUACAGUAAAUAUUACAUCAAUAUAAAUAAAUAAUGAGUUCACAACAGUACCUAAGUGGUGAUUUAUUUUUCUUAUACUAACGGAUCUCAUGAGUUUUCUGUUGAGUUUGGUGUUGUGAAGUUUUCAAGUUUUGGGUAAAGAUUUGAUGGACUACAAAAUAAGGAGUGGCAAGAGCCUAAGCUUGGGGAUGCACAAGGCACCCCAAGCCAUAUUCAAGGAUACCAGAGAUCCUAAGCUUGGGGAUGCCCCGAAAGGCAUCCCUUCUUUCGUCUUCAAUCCAUCGCUAAAUUUACUUGAGGAUAUAUUUUUAUUCACCACAUGAUAUGUGUUUUGCUUGGAGCGUCUUGUAUGAUAUGAGUCGUUACUUUUUAGUUUGCCAAAAUAAUCCUUGAUGCACACAUCUUUUGAGAGAGACACGCUGAAUCAUGAAUUUAUUAGAAUACUCUUUGUGCUUCACUUAUAUCUUUUGAGCUAGGCAAUGUUGCUCUAGUACUUCACUUAUAUAUUUUAGAGCACGGCGGUGUUGUGUUUUAUUGAAAUUAUUAAACUCUCAUACCUCACUUAUAUUAUUUUUAGCUUUCUUUAAACAUCUUGGUAACUGUUUUAGGUUAUGAAUUUAGUUCUAAUAUAAUAGGCAUCCAAGAGGGAUAUAAUAAAAACUUUCAUAUUAAGUGCAUUGAAUAUGAUGAGAAGUUUGAUUCCUUGCAUAUAGUUUUGAGAUAUGAAGAUGGUAAUAUGAGAGUCAUGCUAGUAAGUAAUUGUGAAUUAGAAGAAAUACUUGUGUUAAAGCUUGUGAUUCAUGUAGCAUGCACGUAUGGUGAACCGUUAUGUGAUGAAGUCGAAGCAUGAUUUGUUUAAUGAUUGUCAACAUUUGUGUGGAGGUCGGGAUCACAGGAUGGUUAACUCCUACCAACCCUUCACCUAGGAGCAUGCGUCUAAUACUUUGCUUCGAUAACUAAUAGGCUUUUGCAAUAAGUAUGUGAGUUCUUUAUGACUAAUGUUGAGUUCAUGGAUUAUACACACUCUCACCCUUCCACCUUUGCUAGCCUCUCUUGUACCGCGCAACUUUCGCUGGUACAUUAAACCCACCUUCCUCAAAACAGCCACCAUAUCUACCUAUUAUCGCAUUUUCAUAGCCAUUCUGAGAUAUAUUGCCAUGCAACACCACCGCCUCGUUUUUAUGACACGCACCAUCUGUUCCAUAUUGCUUAUAGAGUCAUACUUUGUUCUAGAUAUCGAGUUGUAAUCUUUUGAGUUGUAAGUAAAUAAAAGUGUGAUGAUUUGCAUUAUUAGAGCAUUGUCCCGUGUGAGAAAAGGAUGAUGGAAGCUAUGAUUACCUCACAAGUAGGGAUGAGUCUCCGGACUUUACAAACAAUAAAAGAGGCCAGCAAAGCCCAUAAAAAAUAAAAUAGGCCAUAGAAGCCCAUCCAAAAAAAAGAAAAAAAGAAUAAAUGAGAAUAAAAUGAGAGAAAGAUAAAAGGGACAAUGCUACUAUCUUUUCCCAAACUUGUGCUUCAAAGUAGCACCAUGUUCUACAUAGAGAGUCCUCUAUUUUGUCGCUUUCAUAUAACUAGUAGUAUUACAUCUUUUGCACAACCACUUAGUGUUCUUUUUGAGCUUUCAUACACGUAUAGCUCUAGUGCAUUUGUUGCAUGCCAAUCCCUACUCACUCACAUUAAUAUCUAUUGAUGGACAUCUCCAUAGCCCGUUGAUAUGCCUAGUUGAUGUGAGACUAUCUUCUAUAGCCAGGCUUAUUAGGGAUGAUAGACUACUCGUAUCAAUAAGGAAUUCCUUCUUUUCCGGGAGCCCAUUCGAACAGAACUCCCAGGUUAAGCGUGCUUGGCUUGGAGUAGUUCUAGUAUGGGUGACCGACUGGGAAGUUGAUCCCGGGUGCGCAUGAGUGAGGACAAAGUGCGCAGAAAAGACUAGUAUUGAUAUGUGGGGCCAGUCUAGAUCCCGUCAGGAGUAACGAUCGCCGGCGGGUGUGUCCGAGGUGUUACAAGUUUGGUAUCAGAGCUGACCCUCGCGGUUACACGGAUGUUUGCGGACAGGUGUGCGGUCAUGUUGUUCAUGACGUUUGUGACCCGUCGUGGCACACGGCAUGGUACAUCUACUGGACUGGAUGCACAGACGUUUGUACCAAGAGGGAACGCUCCUAUGGCCCGACGAGGACGUCGGUUCCUCUGAGUGGUGGUGUAUGUGAUAGCCUGGCUUAUUAGGGAUGAUAGACUACUCACAUCAAUAAGGAAUUCCUUCUUUUUCGGGAGCCCAAUCGAACAGAACUCCUAGGUUAAGCGUGCUUAGCUUGGAGUAGUUCUAGGAUGGGUGACCGACCGGGAAGUUGAUCCUGGGUGCGCAUGAGUGAGGACAAAGUGCGCAGAACAGACUAGUAUUGAUUGAUAUGUGGGGGUAGCCUAGAUCCUGUCAGGAGUAACGAUCACCGGCGGGUGUGUCCGGGGUGUUACACUUCUCUCUUUUUUGCAACCUCCACCACACUCUAUUCCACCUAUAGUGCUAUAUCCAUGGCUCAUGCUCAUUUAUUGCGUGAGAGUUGAAAAGGUUUGAGAACAUAAAAAAGUGUGAAAAAAUUGCUUGAUUUUCAUCGGGAUUGUGCAUGAUUUAGAUACUUUGUGUGGUGAAGAUGGAGCAUAGCCAGACCAUAUGAUUUUGUAGGGAUAACUUUCUAAGACCAUGUUAUUUUGAAAGGAAGCAAUUACCUUAUUAGUAUGAUUGAAGUAUUAUUGUAUUUGUGUCAAUAUUAGACUUUUAUUUUGAGUCUUAUGGAUCUUAAUAUUCAUGCCACAUUAGAGAAUAUUACAUGGAUAAAUAUGUUAGGUAGCAUUCCACAUAAAAAAUUCUAUUUUUAUCAUUUACCUACUCUAGG